rnacentral:rRNA from 1 species
CCUCGGGGGAAUAGCGUUAGCUACGGCGAGUGAGCGGCAAAAGCUCAAAUUUGAAAUCUGGCACCUUCGGUGUCCGAGUUGUAAUUUGAAGAAGGUAACUUUGGAGUUGGCUCUUGUCUAUGUUCCUUGGAACAGGACGUCACAGAGGGUGAGAAUCCCGUGCGAUGAGAUGCCCAAUUCUAUGUAAAGUGCUUUCGAAGAGUCGAGUUGUUUGGGAAUGCAGCUCUAAGUGGGUGGUAAAUUCCAUCUAAAGCUAAAUAUUGGCGAGAGACCGAUAGCGAACAAGUACAGUGAUGGAAAGAUGAAAAGAACUUUGAAAAGAGAGUGAAAAAGUACGUGAAAUUGUUGAAAGGGAAGGGCUUGAGAUCAGACUUGGUAUUUUGCGAUCCUUUCCUUCUUGGUUGGGUUCCUCGCAGCUUACUGGGCCAGCAUCGGUUUGGAUGGUAGGAUAAUGACUAAGGAAUGUGGCUCUACUUCGGUGGAGUGUUAUAGCCUUGGUUGAUACUGCCUGUCUAGACCGAGGACUGCGUCUUUUGACUAGGAUGUUGGCAUAAUGAUCUUAAGCCACCCGUCUUAACCCCCCGGACCAAAAAAAAAAAUUAAAAAAUAACAGCAGAGCGCGGGGAAGCGGGGAGAUCAAAUUUAAAAUUUGUCAGUGCUUUUGUUGAACAUAGAGAUAUUUGUAAA